rnacentral:lncRNA from 1 species
GGCUUUGAAGAAGGUCCUCAACAGCCCUAACAUCUGACCUCCAUAUCCUACUCUAUCUCCUUUCUCUUUCUCACAGCCCCCUGAUGAAGUUGUGUUAAAUUAUUUGCUAACACUCUGCUCUUAUUUACCCAUAAAUUUGAAAAACUGAUCAUGUAGUCAUUGAUAAAAAGGAUAAAAUUAUUGCAUGAUGUAAAGGAUAGCUUGGAGACACUAUAGAAACAUGUUUGUAAAUUGAUAGUGAUCCACAGUGAAAAUAUUGCUUACCUGGAGUUUAUUCCUGUGUUAGCCCAAGCAGAUCAUUUGUUUGGGGUUGUAGUGGACAGAUCAUAAAGUGACCCCCUCCUAGUGUUCCUCUUCUGGUGUUCACGCCCUUGUAUAUCUCCUCCCCUUGAGUUUGGGUGCUACUUAUGAGUUGCUUCUAACCAGUAGAAUAUGGCAAUGGUGAUGCAGUGUCUCUCCUCGAUUGUUAAGUUUUAUACCUUGUCUUGCUAGAGACUCUCUCUUGCUGGCUUUGAAGAGAUAAGUAGCCAUGUUAGAAGGCCCACCUACCAAGGGGGUGAGGGUGGCCUCUAGGAGCUGAGGAUUGCCUCUAGCCAACAGCCAGAAGGAAGCUAGGGCUCUUGGUCUCACAGCCAUAAGUAAGUAAAUUCUGCCAACAACCUGAGAGAAAUUGGAAAAGGAUACUUCUACAGUCAGGCCUCCAGAUGAAAACACAGCCUGUCUGAUAGUUAGAUUAUUGCAGCCUGAACCCAGAGACUCCAGCUAAGCCUUGACCAUAUUCUUGACCCACAGAAAUAGUAAGAUACAUAUAGUACAGACUAAAUAUAGGGUGUGUGUGUGUAUAUAUGUGUGUGUAUGUAUAUAUAUAUAACAUACAGUGUAUAUAGUAAAUAUAUAGUGAUGUAGUAAAUGUAUAUAUAUAUUUUUUGUAAGACACUAUGAUUGUAGCAGUUUGUUAGCAUAGAAAACUAAUGCAGGGUCUUAUAGUGAGUAAACAAACCAUUUAGAUAUGUGCCUUGGUUCUGAUCCCUGCUUCAGAUUAUAUUGCCUCUUUAGUCAGAUGGCUGAUUCAGAACUCAGAAGAGGUAGGAUCUAAGAUAAGUCCCAUUAAACUAUGACCAACAAUUUCCUUUCCUUCUCUAUGCUUCCUUUUCUCAUCUGUAAAAUGAGAACAUCAUAGUGGAUGAGCUCUAAGGAAACUUUCAGCUCAAGUAUUUUAUGCCUACUGCCCACAAAGAGGAAGAUACCCUUGAAAUAAAUUUGAACUGAGGGGAAGCAGAAAAUAAUGAAGUUUGGAAAUAAUGAAACAAAAAUGAGCAAAUAUUGAAGGCUAAAAGGAAAUACAGCUUAGAAUAGAAAGUUUAAGAAGCCCAUACACUGAUAGACCCCAGAAAAGUCAAUGAAAUGAAAUGAUCCAGGCAGUUACAGAAGUGAUGCUGGCACAUCCAGCCAAGUGGGCAAUGGAACCACUAGUACCUCCCAUCUUGGUUUUAUGGACUUCAUUCUGAAGACAUCUGGGGAUGGGGGUGUUUAAUCUAGCUCAGAUCAUUUCCAGUGAAAGAAAAAAGAACUUACCUUUAGCCCAAAUCUGAGAAACUUUGCGCAGAAAUGCUCUUCAUGUCCUCCACCCCUAAUAACAGUCGUUGCUCGUUAUUAGACCACUGUCCUGGCUUCUGGUUAGUCGGAAGAGCAGAGCCAGUGUUCCUAGAAGUAAACCAGACCAACAAACUCAUGUGAAAUAGUUUUUUGGGUCUCCAUUUUCUAAUGCUACAUAAAGAAAGGCUUUGAAUAGCACUGGAUUCUGGGAAGAACCAUGGAGAGUAUUUUCUAAGAUUUCAAGUCAAUGGAUAUAACUGAGAACAUAAAUUCUAAAACCAUCAUAAGCUGAAUGCUGGAAAAAGAGAAGCAAGUGUUCUUUUCAGUAUGAAGAAAAAAAAAAUGCCCUGCUCAUUAAGACCUUAGAAUGAAUCUACUCUUACAAGUCUAAUCCAUGAAUAAACUAAGAAAUAGAACUUUGCUGAAAAAUUCCUCAAGGAUUUACAAGUUGCUGUAAGUCCCCAAGGAGUGGGGUUUGAGCUAUAAAGUUGCCUGAGGUACACAAGUCUGUACAGUGUAGUAAGAAUUUGGAAACUGACAUCUGUCCACAACAAAGACACUACUGAUACCAAAAUCAGAGCUAUCUGGCUUUCUGUCCCCGUGUUAAAUAGUCCUUAGUGUGGGUUUAAGGGUAGCUUAAUGGUUGCUGGCUUAAGAAAGACGGAAUUUUGAGCGACUGUUAGAUGUGUUAAAGCAGAAGAGCCAAUCUAGAUUUCUUAAAAACCUAGGAUUUUAAAUCAUUUAAUUUAUUAUCUUAAACUGAUCAUAUAAUUCAUCCAAUCAUAUUCAAAAUUCUUAACUACUUAGAAACAUAUAUGUAAAACUGGAAAAGAAAUGUAGAUAUACCUUCAUUCCUCGUAUCUAAUAAAAUAACAAUAUGAAAGAGCCUGGCAAUUAGAAGGUAUCAAUAAAUGUAGGUUCCCACCAAGGACCUACUACAGUACAAGAAACUCUAUUUAAUAUUUUGUAAUAAACCAUAAUGUAAAAGAAUCUGAAAAAAAUAGACAUAUAGAUAUAUAAACAUAUCUAUCUACAUAUAUAUGUAUAACUAAAUCACUUUGCUGUAUACCUGAAACACAGCACUGUAAAUUAACUAUAAUUUUUAAUGGUUAAAAAAUUUAAUUAAAAAUUAAAAAUAAAAAUCAACUAUAAUUUAAAUGCAAAAAAAUUAAAAAUAAAAAUAAAUGUAGGUUUCAUUUCAUCUUCUAUUCUGUGCUUUAUUCAAAUGACCCAUAAUAAUGGAAUAAUUCUUUGCCAACUCUUAGAUUUUGUAACAAACUCAGCUGAACAUUCAGUGUGUUAUUUUGGAUGGACAUCAGUUAAAAACACAGUCAUGAAACUGGACUAUAGUAAGACUAAGGACAUUGACAGUCUUGCAUAUAUUAUACCAGUCUCUGCUGCUCAAUCCAUUAGUGAAGCCUGUGUCGGCCAAAUUCAACAUUCCUUUCUUCCUCAACUGAGGAAGAAUCCAAUUUGGAAGAAUGGGAGAUAGGAAAAUAAUCAACUCUGGGGGCAUAAGAAUGCCUGGUCAGAGUAAGGAUUAUUUUAUCUUCUGCAUUAUUUUAAUAAUUAGACCAAGUCAAAAAUCUUGAAGUCAGUGAUCAGUAGUCAUCGUACCACCUUAAACAGACAGCCCGAUGCCCAUCAGAUGGAGAACCUCAGGGAAAUGUUUCAUGACCCUUAGAUCUCCUCAGGAUGGCCUUUUUAUUUACCUUUGAGUUCAGUCAGACUUGCUAGUUCACAUUCAAGAAUUCAAUAAAAGAAUAUUUUUAGAAAUUUCAGUAUAUUUAAUUACAUACCGAACACUCAUUCACCAAAAAAAAAAGUAUUGGUAUCCAACCAUGUUUAAAACGUCUUGCCAGUUAGAGAGAUCAGUUUGGGGAGAGAGAGAAGGAAGUAAGACAUAUCUCCUGGCCUCUAAGAAUACCUAGUCCUAGCGCAAGAAAUGAGAUAUGUGGUCACAACCACAAUACAAGGUAAGAUGCGCUGUAAGAGAAGUACAGGCAGGACACAGUGUGAGUUUGAGGAAUGAAGGAUUAUUUGGGAUUGACAGGAUUCUAAAAUAUUCAACAGUAUUUGUCAUUGAUUUCACAAUAUGGAGAUAAGUAUCAGAUUUAUCUUAGAGUCAAGGAUCUCAGAAAUAAGAGAAUUCUGAGAAAUGGAAUCCAAUCCUCUAUUCCAUGGGUUCUUAAGUAGAAAUCCGUGGACCGACUUUAAGGUAUUUGGACCCCCCUGUAUUGCCUCUUAUUCUCUAUUCCCUUUGAAAUCUCACCCUCUUCUAUCCUGUCAUUAAAUAUUGAAGUUCAUCGAAUGUUUAUCUCAGGCCCAUUCAUCCAUAGCCAUGAUGUCAAUGGCUAAAAAUAGCAGUUAUUCCUAAAUUUAUCUCUCUAGUCAAGAUCUCAUCUCUAAGUUCCAUAUAUUUCACUGCCUACUUGACACCUCCACUGGGAAAACACAACAUGUCCAAGAGAUACCUCAUAAUCUUCCCCCUCAGUCCUGGUCCUCUUUUAUAGUUACCUGCUGCAUUCAUCUUUAAGCCCCCACAACCCUAUCCCCACAUACAGAAAUUAGAUCUUCUUUUAUCAACUCAUGUCUAACCAUGUCACACUUUAAGAUCCUUCAACAGCCCCCCACUGCUUAUGAUUUACAGCCCAAACCCUACACAAGGCUUCAUGAUUUGGGAUGCUGUUGGCUGCAAAUAACAGAACCCUCACUCAACUAGCCUAAAUGAUAAUGUUGUCACUUAACACAAGGUCCUUAAAAUAGUGGCUCCAGAUGGAUCAUCAGCAUCUUUAAGGACCCAAUUUUCUUUCAUCUUUCUUCUCUACCAUUGAAUUUUUUUAAAGAUUUCUGGUUUAUGUUCACCAUGGGUUAAUCGUGAAAGAAAAAUUUUCUUUCCAUGUCAAUCCCUCCUUGAAUUGUUAUUUAAAGUGUUUUCAUUUUGUCCUUUAAUUGUGGUGAGGGCACUUUUACAAGGAACUUUCAAGUAUGAUUAGAUAAGGUCCCAUGGGAUAUGUUAUUUCACCAAGGUGCACAUUUUUGAGAACUGCCACCCUGGUCACAUGACCAAAAACCGUCAUAGGCCCCUACCAACUUAUCUAUAAAGCCUCAGCAGACAGUGAGUAUCAAGGUUAGAAGCCUUCAGUUGUAUUGGACUGAAAUGUUUAAUAGUGUUCGGUCAAGCAUGGCUGCCUUCCAGUGAGAUAAAAUAUUCAUCAAUUGUGAGUCAUAAAUUCUUCCCUUGCCCUGUACUUUGCUAUAGUGAAUGAGUACAGGACUGUAAUUCAAGGGAUGGAUAAGGAAAUAAAAAGGAAUAUAAGUAUAAUUUCUUAUUUUAGAGCCAUAUUGUGGGGAGAAGCACACUAAGCAGAAAGGCACCAUGAGAUACCUUCCUUGGAAUGGCACAAUGGUGACAGCAACACAGUUUGCCAACCUAAACACACUAGGUUCUGAUCCAACAUCAACUGCAAAAAAGAAUUUGAUAAACAGAAAGUCAUUUGCAGUGAAAAAUGCUUUGUUGCUGGAGUUCCCAUGGUGGCACAGCAGAAAUGAAUCCGACUAGGAACCAUGAGGUUGCAGGUUCAAUCCCUGGCCUCACUCAGUGGUUUAAGGAUCUAGCAUUGCUGUGAGCUGUGGUGUAUGGUGUAGAUUGCAGACAUGGCUCAGAUCCUGCAUUGCUGUGGCUGUGGUGUAGGUCAGCAGCUGUAGCUCCAAUUAGACCCCUAGCCUAGGAACCUCUGUAUGCCGUGAGUGUGACCCUAAAAAGCAAAAAAAUAAAAAAAUAAAAAAA